AUUACAGAGCCUUUUAUACUUCCGGGACAGCAGUGACUUAAUACUGAGGCCUCUCAGGGGAAGACCGGGAUAACUGAGUCCUGCUUUACCUAUCUCGGCUUGCAAGAAACGGUAUAGGUGGAGGCCUCUUUCAGUGUAUGCCGGCGCUCUAGGUGAACCGAGACAUAGAGGUGGAAGUGGAGUAGAAAGACGGGGCCAACCGGAAGGGGCGGGCUCAUGGGCGAACCCACCCCUCCAGGCAGGGUUUCGCCCCUCGCCCCGCCCCUUCCCCCGCCCGGACGGCCAUGGCCAUUCCCGGCAUCCCCUAUGAGAGACGGCUUCUCAUCAUGGCGGACCCUAGAGAUAAGGCGCUUCAGGACUACCGCAAGAAGUUGCUUGAACACAAGGAGAUCGACGGCCGUCUUAAGGAGUUAAGGGAACAAUUAAAAGAACUUACCAAGCAGUAUGAAAAGUCUGAAAAUGAUCUGAAGGCCCUACAGAGUGUUGGGCAGAUCGUGGGUGAAGUGCUUAAACAGUUAACUGAAGAAAAAUUCAUUGUUAAAGCUACCAAUGGACCAAGAUAUGUUGUGGGUUGUCGUCGACAGCUUGACAAAAGUAAGCUGAAGCCAGGAACAAGAGUUGCUUUGGAUAUGACUACACUAACUAUCAUGAGAUAUUUGCCGAGAGAGGUGGAUCCACUGGUUUAUAACAUGUCUCAUGAGGACCCUGGGAAUGUUUCUUAUUCUGAGAUUGGAGGGCUAUCAGAACAGAUCCGGGAAUUAAGAGAGGUGAUAGAAUUACCUCUUACAAACCCAGAGUUAUUUCAGCGUGUAGGAAUAAUACCUCCAAAAGGCUGUUUGUUAUAUGGACCACCAGGUACGGGAAAAACACUCUUGGCACGAGCCGUUGCUAGCCAGCUGGACUGCAAUUUCUUAAAGGUUGUAUCUAGUUCUAUUGUAGACAAGUACAUUGGUGAAAGUGCUCGUUUGAUCAGAGAAAUGUUUAAUUAUGCUAGAGAUCAUCAACCAUGCAUCAUUUUUAUGGAUGAAAUAGAUGCUAUUGGUGGUCGUCGGUUUUCUGAGGGUACUUCAGCUGACAGAGAGAUUCAGAGAACGUUAAUGGAGUUACUGAAUCAAAUGGAUGGAUUUGAUACUCUGCAUAGAGUUAAAAUGAUCAUGGCUACAAACAGACCAGAUACACUGGAUCCUGCUUUGCUGCGUCCAGGAAGAUUAGAUAGAAAAAUACAUAUUGAUUUGCCAAAUGAACAAGCAAGAUUAGACAUACUGAAAAUCCAUGCAGGUCCCAUUACAAAGCAUGGUGAAAUAGGUAAGGAAGUCAUCUAUUUUAUAUGUAUUUACAUUUGGUAAAUGAAGAAAAAUACUUUUAGAAAUUACUGAUAGUUUCCUAAAUCUGGUUUUAAAUUCAGCAAAUGUGGUGGUUUUAAAUUCAGCAAAUAGUUAUUGAGCAUCUACUAUAAGCUAGGAACCAUUGUAAGUGUUUUAUAAGGGCUGACAAUAUAGCAAGGAACAAAACAGACAAAUUUCUGCCAUUAGAGAACUUACAUUCUUGUUAGGAAAAAACAGAUAAAGUUAGUAAAACAAAGUAUAAUAGAUGAUGAUAAGUGCUAUGGAGAAAAAUAAAGCAAGAAAGUGGGGGGCGGGCAUGGUGGCUCACUCCUGUAAUCCUAAUGGUUUGGGAGGCCGAGGCAGAAGGACCGCUUGAGGCCAGGAGUUUGAGGUUGCAGGGAGCUAUGAUCAUGUGACUGCACUCCAGUUUGGCAAGACGCUGUUUCAGGGGGGAAAAAAAAGAAAAGGGGGAUAGGAAAUUAGGGAAGUGCCAGGACCAGGCAUGAGGAUAUGUUUUUAAAUGACAGGGAGGAUUAGCACAGGGAAGGCCUUACCAAGAAGGUAAUUUAUUUUUUAGAGACAGGGUCUCACUCUUGCCCAGGCUGGAGUGCAAUGGUGUGAUCCCAGCUCACUGCAACUUCUGCCUCCCAAGCUCAAAUGAUCCUCACACCUCAGCCUCCUGAUUAGCUGGGACUACAGGCACACACCACCAACCCUGGCUUGUUUUUUUGUAGGGAUGGGGUUUCACCAUGUUGCCCAGGCUGAUCUUGAACUACUGGGCUCAAGCAAUCUGCCCACCUCGGCCACCCAAAGUUCUGGGAUAACAGGCGUGUGCCACUGCACCCGGCCUGGUUGUUUGUUUGUUUGUUUUUUAAAUUGAUUCCUGUUAAAUGCUGACAAUAGGUCAGAUAAAGAGUUCUCAGAGUAGACCUUUGGAUUUAACUACAUGGAGGUCAUUGGUAAUCUUGUCAAAAGUAGCUUCUUGGGAGUGGUGGAGGUGAAAGCCUAUUUCAGUUGGGUUUCAGAGAGAUUGGGAGGAGAGGCAUUGAGUUUAGACAUUUCUUUUAAGAGUUCUACAGAGGGGGCAGAAGAAGUAGAAGGGGAAUGCCGAUGAGGAGUUGGCAGAGUUUUCUGUAAGAUGGAAGAGUUUACGACCCCCCUGCCCUUUUUUUUUUUUUUUUAAUAAUGCUACUGGGAAUGACCUAGGAGAAAGAGAAAUUGGCAGUGUUCUUUCCUUGAAGAGGGAUUGGCCCUAUAUAUGUGUGUACUUUUAUGAGACUGGAGGAAAGGCAGAGUACAUAGAUGCUUAUGAUGACAGGUUCUUAGAUAGUGCAGGAACUUGUAGAAGUGUUUUUUUCUGAAUGCUUCUGUUUUCUCAGUGAAGUAGAAUGCACGUUCAGAAUGAAGAUAGGGAAGUGUUCUUAGAGAUUUGAAGACAAAGGAGAAGGUAUAAAGUCAUUAUCUAUGGAAGUGAGGGAUUGGACUAGGGUGCAGGCCAGUAAAACAUGGCUUGUGAACCAAAUUCUGCCUGCCCUGUGUUUUUGGAAACACACAAAGUUUUGUUGUAACCCAAGCAUGCUCAUUUAUCUAUUGUCUAUGGCUGCUUUCCUACUGGAAUAGCUGAGUUGAGUAGUUACAACAGAAACCAUAUGGCUUGCAAAGCAUACAGUAUUUACUCUCUGGCCCUUUACAUAAAAAGUUUGCUGACCUCCAGACUAGGGAAAUCUAGUAUAAUUUCCAGGCAGCCUUAAAAACUCUUUAGAAGUUAAUGGUCCAGAAUAAUGACAAAUAGCUGAUUGUUGACUUUCACUAUCUUCAUUGCCCCUGUUAGAGAGUUUUGAGCUGGAAAGACCGAACUGAACAAAGGAUGUCAAUGUAUAGGUUUCUUCCACAAAUACUGAGCUCUUGCUAGAUGCCAGAUACUGUGCUAGCCUUGGGAAUUCUUGCUCUCAGGAAGCUUACAAUGAACUUAAACCUGAUUAAAGACAAUUCAUGAAUAUAUGUGUGAUUUCAAAUAGAGAACGACAUGCCCUAUAUUGCCUGACCAAACGGUGCAUCAUCAAAGUUAUUCAAACUGUAGUAGCCUGUGCUGUCUUACUUCUCUUCCUAUUCUGUAUCAGAUCCAUUGUUGCUACCCCAAUCCUAUAGCUCUUUGAUUCAUGUCUGUUAUGUGGGUGGAUGGAGAACUCACUUUAUUACUGCUACCAUAGAUCUGAUACUUCACCACUUGAAUCUUGCACAGAAACCAGAGAAGCUAGCUAAUGCGUGCUGUAGCAUUUAAAAAUUCCAUGUGAUACAAUUAUGUAUGAUUACAUUUCAGUUUUGCUAUACUUUAUAUUUGGCUUGUAUGAUUAAAGUAAACAAAGUAAAUUCCAUUGUUAUAAUUGGUUUUGAGUGUUAUAGGUUUAUUCAAAUUCAAGAUUUGAUUACAGUUUUGAUAAGAGUCACAGCUUAACAGGUAUCUGGAGUUCACAUGUGCAUAGCUAUUUCACUGUAUAAAAAUAGAUUAAGAUAUUUUGAGAUUUUGGUGAUAUUUCCUGUUUUUAAAGUUUCAGGGGUGUGUCUAAUUCUUCUUGGUGCUGGUUUAUUUAACAGAAGUCUUAGUUUUUGGAUAUUAAUAUUGUGGAAAGUUAACAGAGCUGAUGUCUAGCUGAUCAAACUCAAAAUUAUGAAGCAAUUGUGAAGCUUUCGGAUGGCUUUAAUGGAGCAGAUCUGAGAAAUGUUUGUACUGAAGCAGGUAUGUUCGCAAUUCGUGCUGAUCAUGAUUUUGUAGUACAGGAAGACUUCAUGAAAGCAGUCAGAAAAGUGGCUGAUUCUAAGAAGCUGGAGUCUAAAUUGGACUACAAACCUGUGUAAUUUACUGUAAGAUUUUUGAUGGCUGCAUGACAGAUGUUGGCUUAUUGUAAAAAUAAAGUUAAAGAAAAUAAUGUAUGUAUUGGCAAUGAUGUCAUUAAAAGUAUAUGAAUAAAAAUAUGAGUAACAUCAUAAAAAUUAGUAAUUCAACUUUUAAGAUACAGAAGAAAUUUGUAUGUUUGUUAAAGUUGCAUUUAUUGCAGCAAGUUACAAAGGGAAAGUGUUGAAGCUUUUCAUAUUUGCUGCGUGAGCAUUUUGUAAAAUAUUGAAAGUGGUUUGAGAUAGUGGUAUAAGAAAGCAUUUCUUAUGACUUAUUUUGUAUCAUUUGUUUUCCUCAUCUAAAAAGUUGAAUAAAAUCUGUUUGAUUCAGUUCUCCUACA